rnacentral:lncRNA from 1 species
UGUCCUCUUUUACUGGUUUGUUCAUGGAAAAUAAAGUGUUUCUUGAAAGAUUAAGUUGUAGUGCUUGUAUGCAACGAUAUAACGACUUAAUCGCAUGAAAACGUGCGAAGAAUUUUUAUUUACAAAUGGGCGACAAGUGGAAAUGUUUCACUCAUUGUCAGAGUUUCAGAAGCAGGGUACAGCAGUAUGGAAACAAGGAAGUGUUCAUAUUUUGCUCUUGAUAGAAGCUGAGUUGUUGUUGUUUCCACAGGUAUGUUCAAUAAUUUGUUUGUCCUUCCUCAUCUGGAAUAAUAAGUGUCUUAAAAUACAUAUUUUGAUGAAAAUGACACAUAUUCCUCUUGCAAUUUCGUAGAAACUGGCCGUUGCCUUCAGUUAGAAAAUAUAUUUUAUGAAAGUUAAAUCAUACUUUGUUUUAUUAAAACCUGAGCUAUUCAUGGGAAAAAUGUGCUAGAUGUUGUAAUUGACAAAUCCACUUGUGAAGUGAAAAUGUCAUGUUGUCACAUGCUUAUGAAAUUGCUCCUGUAUUGGUUUGUUAUAAAGUAAAAAUUGCUGCAAAAAUGCUUUUGAAAAUGUUCAAGUAUUGGUUGUUAUGAGAUAGGAAAUGCCGCAUUGAUUUGUUCAGUUUUAAGAGUCUAACGGCAAUCCUGAAUAUAGGCAUGCUUGCUUUGUGAAAUUCUGUGGUGAUAUGGCAUAUAAAUAAAAAUAUCUUAAAAUUUUUACCAUUGCCUCUCUCCGAAAUAUGGCUUAAAACUAUCCUUAUUAGUCAACCUUCAUGGAAAAGUUAGUGGGUAUGCUGGGAAAAAUGCGCGCGGCACUUUUUUUGGACACUGAAGAUGGUAACAUUUGAUGUUGUCAUAUAUUGCCAUCCUCUUAUCAUAGCAUAACUUAACUUAUUUUAGUGAGUUUGUUAAAGCAUUGUGCUCACUAUAUGCCUGUAGUAUCUAAGACUUUUUCAUAGCAUUAUAUGACAAAUUUAAGUUCUGUUUUCUUUUAUUUUUAGGUGAUAGUAUCUGUUCACUUGAGUGUUGGUAUCAAAUUUUGGACAAGUUUCAAUUAUUAUUUCACAUUCCUUUAUUCAAAUAUCCAAAUAAAUGGAAUAUGACAUCAAACUGGACGACUAGAUUCUGUUUCCAAAC